CCAUCGGCAGACAACAUCUCCUGGUAUUAGUCUCGAGCUGCAUGGAUGAAGUACAAAUUCGGUGCAAUGCACUGACGACUGUUGUCUGCCAAGGCCUUGGGCUGGAGCUAUGUAUAUAGAGCACCCCUGACACCCUGCCACUGACAGCCAAGGAAGUGCCCAUGAGUGAUGUGCUAAUGAUGUUUACCAUCCGACCACCUCCUCUCUUGGCAAAACAAUAAGCCCUGUUCAGCCAGAACUGGAGCUGAAGGAACUAUGCUGUGGUGCUGGGACUGACCAGCUCAUCAAGCCCUACUGGUGCUUUAUAAAUGCCAUCACAUGCCGUCACAGGAGGGCACAGUACCAGAGACUACCAACACCUCCCUGAGUGCUGAGGAUAGCUCACCCUUGACACAGGCAUCUUGUCCAUCAAGGCCGGUGUUUCCAUUCACACAGUGGGGCCCCGUGGCUCUGGGUGUCACAGAACAG